rnacentral:rRNA from 1 species
CAGUUGGUGAGGUAACGGCUCACCAAACCUUCGAUGGAUAGGGGUUCUGAGAGGAAGGUCCCCCACAUUGGAACUGAGACACGGUCCAAACUCCUACGGGAGGCAGCAGUGAGGAAUAUUGGUCAAUGGACGGGAGUCUGAACCAGCCAAGUAGCGUGAAGGAUGACUGCCCUAUGGGUUGUAAACUUCUUUUAUAUGGGAAUAAAGUGAUCCACGUGUGGAUUUUUGUAUGUACCAUAUGAAUAAGGAUCGGCUAACUCCGUGCCAGCAGCCGCGGUAAUACGGAGGAUCCGAGCGUUAUCCGGACUUAUUGGGUUUAAAGGGAGCGUAGGUGGACAGUUAAGUCAGUUGUGAAAGUUUGCGGCUCAACCGUAAAAUUGCAUUGAUACUGGCUGUCUUGAGUACAGUAGAGGUGGGGCGGAAUUCGUGGUGUAGCGGUGAAAUGCUUAGAUAUCACGAAGAACUCCGAUUGCGAAGGCAGCUCACUGGACUGCAACUGACACUGAUGCUCGAAAGUGUGGGUA